rnacentral:rRNA from 1 species
AAUCAACGCUGGCGGCGUGCCUAACACAUGCAAGUCGAACGCGAAAGGGGCUUCGGCCCUGAGUAGAGUGGCGAACGGGUGAGUAACACGUGGGUGACCUACCUUCGAGUGGGGGAUAACGUCCCGAAAGGGACGCUAAUACCGCAUGACAUCCCGCCUUUGAACAGGUGGAGAUCAAAGCUGGGGAUCGCAAGACCUGGCGCUUGAUGAGGGGCCCGCGUCUGAUUAGCUAGUUGGCGAGGUAACGGCUCACCAAGGCGACGAUCAGUAUCCGGCCUGAGAGGGCGGACGGACACACUGGGACUGAGACACGGCCCAGGACUCCUACGGGAGGCAGCAGUGGGGAAUUGUUCGCAAUGGGCGCAAGCCUGACGACGCAACGCCGCGUGGAGGAUGAAGGUCUUCGGAUUGUAAACUCCUGUUGCCCGGGACGAAUGGCUCCGACCUAACACGUCGGAGUGUGACGGUACCGGGUGAGGAAGCCCCGGCUAACUCUGUGCCAGCAGCCG